UAUCUUUGGGUCUGGCUCUUGUCUAUGUUUCUUGGAACAGAACGUCACAGAGGGUGAGAAUCCCGUGCGAUGAGAUGAUCCAGGCCUAUGUAAAGUUCCUUCGAAGAGUCGAGUUGUUUGGGAAUGCAGCUCUAAGUGGGUGGUAAAUUCCAUCUAAAGCUAAAUAUUGGCGAGAGACCGAUAGCGAACAAGUACAGUGAUGGAAAGAUGAAAAGAACUUUGAAAAGAGAGUGAAAAAGUACGUGAAAUUGUUGAAAGGGAAGGGCUUGAGAUCAGACUUGGUAUUUUGUAUGUUACUUCUUCGGGGGUGGCCUCUACAGUUUAUCGGGCCAGCAUCAGUUUGGGCGGUAGGAGAAUUGCGUUGGAAUGUGGCACGGCCUCGGUUGUGUGUUAUAGCCUUCGUCGAUACUGCCAGCCUAGACUGAGGACUGCGGUUUAUACCUAGGAUGUUGGCAUAAUGAUCU
rnacentral:rRNA from 1 species